ensembl:lncRNA
AACAGUAGAUCUGUGCAGGUUCUCACCAUAUGAUUGUGUUGGCUAUCUGUACCUAUUACCAAUUCACAUAAAAGUGAACCAUGUUCUUGUGGUCUUCUUGCAAACUUAAAAUGCCCGUUACUUUAGCACAAGCAGGAGAAUGGUGCAGUAGCAGUAUUGGCAUGAAAUGCAGGGCGAAGUGGGUAUGUUUUGUGACAUGUACAGUCAUAAUUGUAUUGGCUGACUGUGCUCCAGGACACAAAUGUGAAGCCUCGCAGGCUCCAUGGUAUCUUCUGGUGCUACACUGGCUGCACAGAAGCGGCAGAGCAGUUGGACUCAGGGUAGGAAUGUGAAAUGUGAGCAGGCAGGUGAGCAAAAGACAUGGACACUGGUGGGAGUGUAAGAAGGGAAUCGUGGCAAUUUGUGCUGCAGUGUGUCUUCCAUGUAAAGCAGGUCUCGGCGAAACAGUCUGGCAGAAGCAGGGCCUAGGGAAACCUCUGAUGUGAAGGGCCAUCAGAGCUGACUGGGGGCUGCAAGGGGAGAUCUGUCAGAUAGGUCUUGUGGAACUAAGACACAGCCACGGUCCAGACAGCUUAACUACUUCAGUGGGGGCUGCAGCGUGGAAGGAAAACCUCUUGCAGACCGGCACAUACAGGCUUUUCCCUGGCUGCAGCAUGAUGGGGAGUCAUCAACACUGCUGAUGAUACGAAGCUGGGAGGAGUGGCUGACACAUCAGAAGGCUGUGCUGCCAUUCAGCGAGACCCGAACAAAGCGGAGAGUUGGCAGAGAGGAAUCUGAUGCGGUUCAACAAGAGCAAGUACAGAGUGCUACACCUGGGGAGGAAUAACCGCAUGUGUCAGUAGAAGUUUGGGGCAGACCUGCUGGAGAGGAGCUCUGCGGAGAAGGACCUGGGUGUCCUUUUGGGGAACAGGUUGGCCAUGAGCAGCAGUGUGCCCUUGUGGCCAAGAAGGCCAAUGGUGUCCUAGGGUACAUCAAAAAGAGUGUGGCCAACAGGCUGAGGAAGGUGAUCCUCCCCCUCCUCUCUGGUCUGGUCUAAUAAAAUUGUUUUGGUGACUCUUUGUGUGAUGUGAAUUCAUUCUAAUGAUGGGUUCCAAGGCUCAGCUGCUCCCUUUUUUUUUUCUUGCUGCCAUUCCAACCUGGCAGCCCAGCAAUUAGCUCUUCUCCAGGUUAAUUUAAUAGGCUCCAUUUUGAAAUUACUGCUUUAAUCUGGGGAAAAUCAGGGUGUUUUUUUUUCCUGGUAAUUUCUCUCCUUAGGGCGCACAACCCUACUUGUGACCACUAGAAGAAUUAUUAGUGACAAAGUAGAAAACAUAAGCAUGCAGCCCUUUAUUUCUGUAAAGAUCUUUGCUUAUCAUAGUUCUGUAUAUUACAUCAGGGUGUUAUACAAAUAAAUUUAUUUAC